rnacentral:lncRNA from 1 species
CAAUGACCUUCAUCUCUCAAAGAAAACUGUAUGUCUCACCGAUUCUCAUCUUAACGCAGAUUUCCAUGGUCUUGCAUAUAAAAGCAACAUUUGAAGACUUUAAGAAAUAAGACAUUGCCAUAAAAUCUGGCUCAAUUUGUCUUAGCUUUGUUGGUCUGAGUGAAGUGAAACCAAAGCUGUAACUUUGCACAGUGUCCUGCUCGUGAGACUGGAGAGGCUGAUCACCUACCCACUUCCUCUGGUAAGAUAAACUCUUUCAAGCUGGGAAGUUCUUUAUUGGCAUUGGACAAUACUGGCUUGUGGGGGUGGGAGGAUUCAGGUAAAAUUAAGUUGCCUUCUUUCUCUUCUAUGCUAUUAUUAUUAGCUUUUCUCUUGUUCCAUGGCGUUGCCAAAACUUCCUAAGUGGACCAUAGAGGUUGCCUGGAGUUUUUGUUUGUGGGUAACUGUGCAGCCAUUGAACUUAGUGGGGAGACAGGAAAGCUGGGUUCUUCUACAUCACUCUUUUAAGAGAUGGUAUUCUUGUAGUUUCUUGUGUGAGUUUACUCAGAUGUCAGAUGGAGCUGUAUUCUUUCUAAGGUUCAACUGGUCUGUACACGGUUGUCA